GUGAGAUGUUGGUGUUCAAGCUUAGUAGAGUUUUGAAUCUACUCAUCCCUUUUUCAAUGAUUUCCAGCAUCAAUUUGGAUUUUUCUGCAUCAUUCUAUCAGAAGACUGAAGCAAGGCAAUCUCACUCUCCUUCUGCCAUUGUCAUUGGUGGUGGAUUUGCAGGGAUUGCAGCUGCUCAUGCAUUGAAAAAUGCAACUUUUCAGGUUGUGCUUUUAGAAUCUCGGGAUAGAAUUGGUGGCCGAG